UGGAUUUUGUGCUAAUUUGUAAGGGGUAUUGGUUUUUUAUUUACUUCUUCCAUUAUCGGCUUCAAUUUUUGACAUCUUUAUAAGCCACUUCUUUCUAUUAUAUUUGUUCCCUCCUAUUGGAUGUGGGUGGUAUGUUUUACCUCACUAAUUCAUUGGUGCACACCAUAUGCUCAAUGAAAUGCAACAUUGAAGAAUACUGAUUAUUUUUCAUCAUACAUACAUCCAAUAUUUUUGAUUUUAGGGAGAAUCAACAGCUUUUUAAGUUAACAGAUACAAAGACAGCAAGGCCUAUAUUGAAGCUCAACAAACAGUUAAGAAGCUUGAUUUGGAUGGACUUGUGGUCAUUGGUGGGGAUGACUCAAACACAAAUGCAGAAAUCUUUAGGCCUUUUCAAUGUUUUGUUUCUUUUCAAACACGGCCUUCAAGAGAGUAUAAUUGGAAAAAGCAGGACUUGAAAAACCUUCAAAUGCAGCAUUAGGAGAAAUCGUCAGACAUAAGUUGCCAGAAGACGAUACGUCGGUAACAUCCCUCACAUAACAAACAAUGAUGAACUCCAAAAGGUUUUUGAAGAACAUGGUGUCGUUGAGAAAGUUGAGGUAUAUCAAUCUGGUCAAUGGAUGGUAGUUAGAUUCCUUUCCAAUUGCUCAAUCGGCUAUGGGUAUUGAACCUUAACCCUCCUUCUUUUAGUUCAUUUUCUUCCACUUUUUUUAUGUAAAUCGAUAUGGCUUCAAAUUGUUAUAUCCGAUAUACCCUUGCUCGACAUUGAUGGAAAGGAAUUUAAUGAUCUUUUUUGGGAUUUAAAUUCAUAGCUAAAAUGAAAAAGGUUAUAACUGGUGAUGAUUUAGAAGCAUUGGUAUCAGAUGAGGCGUUCUAGCCUCAAGCUAUUUGGAAAUUUGGAGAGGUUUUGGUAUGAAUCCAACCGAACCCAAAUCAGAUGUGCAUUCGGUGAUAUAGUUCUGUUAUCCAUUUAUUCCUCAUUUGGUAACCUACUUUCUUAUCUUCAUUUUCUUUUGUUGUAUUUAAUGACCAUUUUACACUUACAUUUAAAAAAAUCACAAGCUUAUUCAAUUUUAAUACAUUAAUCUAUAAUUUUUGGCUUAGCUUAUUAAUUAAGUCCAUUAUCUAAUAAAAAAUAGGCAGUUACAGUUAUGACUGUUAUAAUAGGGUUAAUGAUGACGGUAAUAAGGUUUUAAGCUUGUCUAUAUUAUGUCCAUAAGGUAAGGUCUUGUUUGUACAUAUUACAUCAACAUCAAGCACUUGAGUCAAGUAAGGAGGGUUAUGUUGUGCCUGCUUUUGAGAUGCCUUCCAUGUGCACAAUUUCGAUUUGUUUUAUUUGAAAUGGGGAACCCUAAAUCGCUUACCUCCAGUCCCACCACUUAAAAUCCAAAAUAUGAUAGCAAACUUUACCAUAUUAAUCCUCGAAAAUGGUUUUUUUUUCCUUUAACGUAUUUAUUAUUAUAUAUAAUUUUAUGUGCAUAU